UAGACGUGGUCCUAUCUAAAACAACGUUGCUAUCUUGGCGAGGUGAGAAGUCUCAUUCGCAAAGUAGCUAGUUGUGCAAGUCUUUAAGUAAAGUUAGGAUGGCAUGUGUAGCAGAAACUGCACAAUGAUCAAGUGUAUCAAAGUGACGGCCCAACUGAAAUGCAGAGAUUGAUUCUAUCUGGCAGAAGAGACGGUUUGCUCGAUUACAAGAGUAGAAGUACCUACUCUUGUAAGUGAUGAUGGUCAAGUGGGACGGUUUGCCCGCUUGCCCGAGACGGUUUCCUCGUUUACUUUACUAAAGAUGUUGCCGAACCGGCAGGGUAGAUGCAUUCGUUUCCUGUUACCGUUGCACUUCCGUUCCAAAGAAAAUUUACGGUGCACGAGGCUGACGCAAAGUCGAGUAUGACGCAAGUCAAAUGAAUUUCUGUUUCGCGUGCAAAAAAAUUCGAUUUCAUCGAUCUGACCGAAUAUAGAGGGAUGAACGAUUGCAAUCGGAAUCUUCGUGUGCCGCCCGUCGGACCAUGGACGCUAUAGCUUCGUACCUUUGUCAAGGCUGUUUGCCAAGUUUGGAUGAAGAUUACGUAUAAAAUUGCUACGUGGAGGAUGCGACGUUCAAAAAUUUCUUUGAUCACUUUGAUAGAGAGUUUCCUGAAUCGAGCGGGUUACAAAUUACUUGCGUUUACUUCACGCUCAUCCGCUACUUGAAUUUCCUGCUGGAAUCUGUCACGUAAGUUUAUGUGACGCAUUAAAUUAAUCACUGGCGUAACGUGGAACGUGCACGGAAAUUAGCCGUUCCAAUUCAUGCAUUCUCGUUAGUAACACGAUUCGCAUAUA